UACUUCAUCGUUAUCUACUGAAAAAAAAAAAGUACUGAUGUCUUUAUCCUUGGAGAGGAGAGGUGUAAUCGAGAUGGAGAAGGUGAGACAAAUGGAGCACAUAGAAGCCACACAACCUUCCUAAAGUCACGCAGCUGGAGGCCGCACAGCCAGAUGGCUCCAGAGGACAUGUCCUUAAUCAUGAUGUUGCUAUUUAGCAGAAACAUCGCUGCAGAAAGUCAGACCACAGAUGGGGACUGGUGGAAACCAAACAUAUGACUACAUCAGUCUACAAAAGCAUCAUGGUAUUCCCACAUAAUUCAGAAGCAUGCCAGGCCAUUCAGAAUCUACAGACCAGAGCAAUCAUGCAAGAUAAUGGAAGAUAAUGACAAAACAAUAUAAUGACAAGAUAAUGGAAGAUAGUGACAAAAAUAUUCUGAGCAUCAUUGAUUUAGUCACCCUUUAUUUCAUAAACAUCUUAGAAUUUUCUUCCCAC
rnacentral:lncRNA from 10 species